rnacentral:rRNA from 1 species
UACGUAGGGUGCGAGCGUUGUCCGGAAUUAUUGGGCGUAAAGGGCUCGUAGGCGGUUUGUCGCGUCGGGCGUGAAAACUCAGGGCUUAACCCUGAGCCUGCUUCCGAUACGGGCAGACUAGAGGUAUGCAGGGGAGAACGGAAUUCCUGGUGUAGCGGUGAAAUGCGCAGAUAUCAGGAGGAACACCGGUGGCGAAGGCGGUUCUCUGGGCAUUACCUGACGCUGAGGAGCGAAAGUGUGGGGAGCGAACAGG